rnacentral:rRNA from 1 species
UACGUAGGGUGCAAGCGUUGUCCGGAAUUAUUGGGCGUAAAGAGCUUGUAGGUGGUUUGUCGCGUCUGCUGUGAAAUUUCGGGGCUCAACCCCGAACUUGCAGUGGGUACGGGCAGACUAGAGUGUGGUAGGGGAGACUGGAAUUCCUGGUGUAGCGGUGAAAUGCGCAGAUAUCAGGAGGAACACCGAUGGCGAAGGCAGGUCUCUGGGCCAUAACUGACGCUGAGGAGCGAAAGCGUGGGGAGCGAACAGG